rnacentral:rRNA from 1 species
UGGGGAAUAUUGGGCAAUGGGCGCAAGCCUGACCCAGCAACGCCGCGUGAAGGAAGAAGGCUUUCGGGUUGUAAACUUCUUUUAAGGGGGAAGAGCAGAAGACGGUACCCCUUGAAUAAGCCACGGCUAACUACGUGCCAGCAGCCGCGGUAAUACGUAGGUGGCAAGCGUUGUCCGGAUUUACUGGGUGUAAAGGGCGUGCAGCCGGAGAGACAAGUCAGAUGUGAAAUCCACGGGCUCAACCCGUGAACUGCAUUUGAAACUGUUUCCCUUGAGUGUCGGAGAGGUAAUCGGAAUUCCUUGUGUAGCGGUGAAAUGCGUAGAUAUAAGGAAGAACACCAGUGGCGAAGGCGGAUUACUGGACGAUAACUGACGGUGAGGCGCGAAAGCGUGGGGAGCAAACAGG